rnacentral:rRNA from 1 species
AACGCUGGCGGCAUGCCUUACACAUGCAAGUCGAACGGUAACAGCACUUCGGUGGCUGACGAGUGGCGGACGGGCGAGUAAUACAUCGGAACGUGCCCGAUCGUGGGGGAUAACUACUCGAAAGAGUGGCUAAUACCGCAUACGAUCUACGGAUGAAAGCGGGGGAUCGCAAGACCUCGCGCGGACGGAGCGGCCGAUGGCAGAUUAGGUAGUUGGUGGGAUAAAAGCUUACCAAGCCGACGAUCUGUAGCUGGUCUGAGAGGACGACCAGCCACACUGGGACUGAGACACGGCCCAGACUCCUACGGGAGGCAGCAGUGGGGAAUUUUGGACAAUGGGGGAAACCCUGAUCCAGCCAUGCCGCGUGCAGGAUGAAGGCCUUCGGGUUGUAAACUGCUUUUGUACGGAACGAAAAGACUCUUUCUAAUACAGAGGGUCCAUGACGGUACCGUAAGAAUAAGCACCGGCUAACUACGUG